ACGGGAGGCAGCAGUGGGGGAUAUUGGACAAUGGAGGAAACUCUGAUCCAGCGACGCCGCGUGAGUGAAGAAGUAUUUCGGUAUGUAAAGCUCUAUCAGCAGGGAAGAAAAAGCGCAAGCAUUGACUGUACCUGACUAAGAAGCCCCGGCUAACUACGUGCCAGCAGCCGCGGUAAUACGUAGGGGGCAAGCGUUAUCCGGAUUUACUGGGUGUAAAGGGAGCGUAGGCGGCGAUGCAAGUCAGAUGUGAAAACCCGGGGCUCAACCCCGUGGACUGCAUUUGAAACUGUCAAGCUAGAGUGCAGGAGGGGUAAGCGGAAUUCCUAGUGUAGCGGUGAAAUGCGUAGAUAUUAGGAGGAACACCGGUGGCGAAGGCGGCUUACUGGACUGUAACUGACGUUGAGGCUCGAAAGCGUGGGGAGCAAACAGGAUUAGAUACCCUGGUA
rnacentral:rRNA from 1 species